CGGUGCAUGGGGCCUGGCCCCACCAGCGGGCACUGGCCCACAGCCACGGCCGGGGGGCCAUCUAGCUGGAGAGAGAAGGGACAGCAACUCCAUCCGCUCCUGCAACUGCCGGACGUGUGCCUCUAGGUCCCGGUUCCGAGCCUCUGCCUCGCGUAGUUGACUGUGGGGAGGUAAGGACGGAACAAAUCAGGAUUCCCACCUGCCCAAGGCCUUUGCCCUGGAGGCUCUCGCCUGACCACUUGGCACCUUUCCUUCCAUGGCUUGUUUCUCCUUCACCAGCGCUCAGCUCAAAGAUCGACUUCUCAGAUCCCCAGCAACACACACACCCUUACUUAAUGCCCCACUGUAACUACAGAGACCGUCCCAUGUCUGAAGUAA
rnacentral:lncRNA from 1 species